AUGAACGCUAGUGAUAUGCUUAAUACAUGCGAGUUUUAAUUGACAUUUUUAUAUAUGUUAAUAGCGUACGGGUGAGUAAUGCAUAAGAACAUACUUUACAUCCUAGAAAUUAAAGUCUAGUAAGGGUUUUUUUUAAAUAAAUUAUUUAUUUAUUUUAAAUACUUGAAAAUUAAUAUUGGUGUAAAAUUGGCUUAUGUAGAAUUAGAUAGUUGGUGAGGUAAUGGCUUACCAAGUCGAUAAUUCUUAGUUGAUCUUAGCGGAUGAUCAACCACAUUGGGACUGAAACAUGGCCCAAGCUCUUUUUUGAGGCAGCAGUAAGGAAUAUUGGACAAUGAACGAAAGUUUGAUCCAGCAAUAUCACGUGAAUGAUGAAGGUUUAUUUUAUUGUAAAGUUCUUUCGAUAGGGAGGAUAGUGACGUUACCUAUAAAAGAAGUCCCGACUAACCUCGU
rnacentral:rRNA from 1 species